CCUACGGGAGGCAGCAGUGAGGAAUAUUGGUCAAUGGGCGCAAGCCUGAACCAGCCAAGUCGCGUGAGGGAUGACGGUCCUAUGGAUUGUAAACCUCUUUUGUCGGGGAGCAAGGCCCGCCACGUGUGGCGGGAAGGAGAGUACCCGAAGAAAAAGCAUCGGCUAACUCCUUGCCAGCAGCCGCGGUAUUACGGAGGGUGCGAGCGUUAUCCGGAUUUAUUGGGUUUACAGAGUGCGUAGGCGGAAGGUUAAGUCAGCGGUCAAAUGUCGGGGCUCAACACCGGCCUGCCGUUGAAACUGGUCGUCUUGAGUGAGCGAGAAGUAUGCGGAAUGCGUGGUGUAGCGGUGAAAUGCAUAGAGAUCACGCAGAACUCCGGUUGCGAAGGCAGCAUACCGGCGCUCAACUGACGCUGAGGCACGAAAGCGUGGGGAUCGAACAGGAUUAGAUACCCCGGUAGUC
rnacentral:rRNA from 1 species